rnacentral:misc_RNA from 1 species
AGCUAUGUAAUUAAUCAAGAUUUUCAAACUAAGCCUGGCCGAUAGAAACUCAAGGGUUUAAUAUAUAUUUAAUGAAAAUUAAGUUAAAUGUUUACUUUCCAACAUAAGUUGAUGUCUUUUUCAGUGUUAUCAAAUCUGAAUUGAAUUGUUGGGUUGAUCAGUGAAUUGAUGAUUUGUGUAUUAAAUUAGAUUGAAUUUGCAAUCAAACCGAAUAUGGAGUUGAUUCGCCAAAAAUCAAGUAACCUGGCCGGUUUGAAAAAUUAUUUUUGAAUGCUUGCGCAGAAAUUUGAAUCCAAAGCCUCGUGAGAAUUUUUUGAAGUUAACUGAUUAAACUAACUUGAUAAUUGUAUAUUUUAUUUAUUUCUAUAUAU